CCCUAUGGGGUGCAGCAGGCGAGAAAACUUUGCAAUGUGCGAAAGCACGACAAGGUUAAUCCGAGUGGCUUCUGUUGAAGAAGCCUUUUGACUGUCCUAAAAGCACAGUUGAAUAAGGGGUGGGCAAGCUCUGGUGUCAGCCGCCGCGGUAAAACCAGCACCUCAAGUGGUCAGGAUGAUUAUUGGGCCUAAAGCAUCCGUAGCCGGAUCCAUAAGUUUUCGGUUAAAUCUAUGCGCUUAACGUAUAGGCUGCCGAAAAUACUGUGGAUCUAGGGAGUGGGAGAGGUAGACGGUACUCGGUAGGAAGAGGUAAAAUUCACUAAUCUAUCGAUGACCACCUGUGGCGAAGGCGGUCUACCAGAACACGUCCGACGGUGAGGGAUGAAAGCUGGGGGAGCAAACCGGAUUAGAUACCCGGGUAGUCCCAGCCGUAAACUAUGCAAACUCAGUGAUGCAUCGAGUUGAACUCGAUGCAGUGUUGCAGGGAAGCCGUUAAGUUUGCCGCCUGGGAAGUACGUACGCAAGUAUGAAACUUAAAGGAAUUGGCGGGGGAGCACCACAAGGGGUGAAGCCUGCGGUUCAAUUGGAGUCAACGCCAGAAAUCUUACCCGGGGAGACAGCAGAAUGAAGGUCAAGCUGGAGACUUUACCAGACAAGCUGAGAAGAAGUGCAUGGCC
rnacentral:rRNA from 1 species